rnacentral:misc_RNA from 1 species
GUUGCUGUCAUUAUAUUAGUUGGUUUGUUUAGCUUACAGCAUUAUGGCACAGACAGAGUGGGUUGGCUGUUUGCCCCAAUUGUGCUGCUUUGGUUUCUCUUAGUAGGAGGUAUUGGUAUCUAUAACAUCUGGAAAUAUGAUAGCUCUGUUUUGCGGGCUUUUUCUCCUGUCUACAUAUAUCGGUAUUUUAAAAGGGGAAAAAGAGAUGGUUGGACAUCACUGGGAGGUAUCAUGCUCAGCAUUACAGGAACAGAAGCACUUUUUGCUGAUCUUGCUCAUUUUCCAGUGUCAGCAAUACAGC